rnacentral:rRNA from 1 species
AUUGAACGCUGGCGGCAUGCUUUACACAUGCAAGUCGAACGGUAACAGGUUAAGCUGACGAGUGGCGAACGGGUGAGUAAUGCAUCGGAACGUGCCCGGUCGUGGGGGAUAACGCAGCGAAAGUUGCGCUAAUACCGCAUACGAUCUGAGGAUGAAAGCGGGGGACCGUAAGGCCUCGCGCGAUCGGAGCGGCCGAUGUCAGAUUAGGUAGUUGGUGGGGUAAAGGCUCACCAAGCCAACGAUCUGUAGCUGGUCUGAGAGGACGACCAGCCACACUGGGACUGGGACACGGCCCAGACUCCUACGGGAGGCAGCGGUGGGGAAUUUUGGACAAUGGGCGAAAGCCUGAUCCAGCAAUGCCGCGUGCAGGAAGAAGGCCUUCGGGUUGUAAACUGCUUUUGUACGGAGCGAAAAGGUCUCCUCUAAUACAGGGGGCUCAUGACGGUACCGUAAGAAUAAGCACCGGCUAACUACGUGCCAGCCGCCGCCGUAA